AAACUUGAGCAAUUUUUCACCCGCGAACAGAUUUUGAACCAGGAAGUAUACAGGUACAAUUAUACAUGCGUUACCGGUAGGGUUUUUAAGUAAAAAAAAAAAUUAAAAAGUAAACAAACAAACAGCCAAAAACUAGGCAAUAAACAAAAAUCAUUAUAAUAUUACAACCAAAACCAGCAAACAAGCAUGUAACGAUAAGAGGAAAAAAAAAACCAAAAACAUUAGCACAGUGUAAGCCGUAUCGUCACUUCUUAUGAUGAUAGACCAGACUGUUUUGGAGUAACCGAAUGAUUUCCACCGACCAGAAUGCAGUUGUACAGUAGGGAGAAGACUAAAGAGCUGUUAUACUCACACUUCAGGGAUUUAUUUCCUGAUAACAGUUCACAAGAAUGGAUUUUACAGAUACCGUAAUUAGAUCAAAUUUUGCUGACUGAGAAAGCAAAAUUUGAUGACCAAUUACAGUAAAAAAAAUGAUAAUUACGAUGACAUACUAGUAUAACGACAAACAGUAUGUUCGACUGAGGUUCGAUUCAAGUUCAUUAAGAAACUUGGUUGAUAGAGAAUUCACGGUUACCAUGGUAAUCAAUGAGGACGUUGUAUUUCAAAAGUAAUGAAAAAAAAGGGAGUCAAAAUAAAUCGAAUUAAGAAUGAUCCAUCAGAGGCAGCUUAAAAAGUAACCGAUAAUAAAAAUUAUUUGUUUAUAC